rnacentral:rRNA from 1 species
ACAGCAGUCGCCACGGUAAUACAGAGGGUGCGAGCGUUAAUCGGAUUUACUGGGCGUAAAGCGUGCGUAGGCGGCUUCUUAAGUCGGAUGUGAAAUCCCUGAGCUUAACUUAGGAAUUGCAUUCGAUACUGGGAAGCUAGAGUAUGGGAGAGGAUGGUAGAAUUCCAGGUGUAGCGGUGAAAUGCGUAGAGAUCUGGAGGAAUACCGAUGGCGAAGGCAGCCAUCUGGCCUAAUACUGACGCUGAGGUACGAAAGCAUGGGGAGCAAACAGGAUUAGAUACCCGCGUAGUCCCUGUCUCUUAUAA